CCCUCCCGCACUCGCGCCUCCCCCGCGCCGCCUCCUGCUCUCCCCUCCCGCGCGCCUCCUCUCCUCUCCCCUCCCACGCGCCUCUUUCCUCCCACCCACAUCGCCGCCGCCGCCACCCACCGCCUCGAACCGCGCCGUCGGCGGCCAGAUCCACUGCAACAGAGCCCCCCCACCCUUCCCAACGACGAUGAGCAGCAGCGGAGGGAGGACGGGGAGCACGACAGCGGCGGCGGAGGGGAGCAGAAGCAGCAGGCCAAGGCAGCGCAACACAAGCGCACUCCCGCUCCGUCCUCCCCUAACCCUAUCUCCUCCUCUCCUCUGAGCCGCCGCUGCCCGUCCUCCUCCUCUCCUCUACACCGCCGCCGCCGUCGACGGGAGGAAGCCAGGCGGAGCGCACCGUCGCCACCGGCUGCGGCCUCGGCGACGCCGACAUGCUCCAGUGGCUCAACGCCACGGAGACAUCGUAGCAGAGGCAGAAGCAGGUGCUCGAUGCGGCGCUCCCCCGUUGCUCCUCUUCUGCAUCUGCUACAGGCGCUCGAUGCGGUGCUCCCCUGUUGCUCCUCCUUCUCCUUCAUCACCAAGAGGGGCGCUGCCUUCUACUGCUGCUCCAGCUUGGGAGGGACAAAAGAGGAGGUCGCUGGUAGAUGACGGGGGAGCAAGCAAGGACUGAUGGGUGCAUCACUACACUGCUACCCGUUUCUCAACUUUUGCUUUACACCGCACUAUUUCGACAGAAUAUUAUAGGAAGGGUGGACUAUGAAGGGAAACACUGGUGUUCUAAGAUAGAUGUUCUGUGUUUGAGAUCUUGCCUUGGUAGCUGGAUGCCUUGGUGCAAGACAUUCAAGGUUGUUUGAUGCGUUUGUGCUCGUCGGCGGGACGGUGCAAGGCGCAACUCCGACGCGGUUCCUCGCCGGUUGGACGGCGUUCAGGCGCAACCCCGGCGCGCACUGAGUACUGCCUCGGCUACAGCCUCCCUCGGUGAGGUCCAUCUUCCUCCCGCUCCUCUGCUUCGGCUACUGUAUGGGACAUUGCCAUGGCUAUAUUGAUGUGGUGCUUGUCUGGUUGAUGCUCUAUGCCCUACUCAUGCAUCGGUUCCUACUUGAGCUCUGUACUUGUGGAUCCAUGCCAUUUUAGGGUUUGCAGGCUGUUGUUCAUGUUUAGUUGCUAUCAUAGGAGCUAAUGUGAUGCUCUGGUUUACAUGUGGAUGCCCUGGUCCUAUAGCUAUGCUCCUGGAUUUGCUAGAUUGAUCAGUGGCAUUCGUGCUAGGGCGAUGAUGAUUAAUCGUGGCUGAAAUAAGUGUGCCUUUGAGCAAUCGUGGCACCUGUGCGUAUCAGGUUGGAUCCUCCCUCUUGUCUCUAGAAUCCUUUUUGAUCCUGUGAUACUUGUUGUUGUCCUUGGAUGGUCAUUCUUGUUGAGUGAUAAUCAGGGCAGCUCCACUGUAUGAACAGAUUGAUCUGGUGAUAAGAGAUGACGGGGGUAGGUUAUAUGAUCGAGGAAAGGUGAAUCUGAGCCCGCUAUGAUGGACAGGCCGCUCUCGCACCACCAGACUCCCUUCAGGGUAGUUACCCACGGGAACGUACUUUUGCCGUUUAUUUUUACUUGUGAUUCCGCUCGUUGUGAACGUGGCUCGAUCCAUGUUGUGGCCCAAUUAUUAUUUUUGUUUUGUUUCAAUGGAUCGUCUUGGCUUGCUUUUGGCCUGAAGUUGUUGCCUUGCUUUUGGCAUACCUGAUUCCACUACCUUUUGUUGUUGCUUGGACCAGUUUCUAUGUAAUAAACAUAUUUAUAUCAAUGUUGUGCUUCUGUUAUAA